GUGCUUAAAGGUCUUUGUGUUCGAAUGGGUUGUAUAGUUUUGAAUGAACUGUACAGUGUUCAUCUUUUUAUUCUUACGGAUGCUUUUACUGUACAUGACCAUAGGUGUGUGCUUGAGUUGGCGUGUGAUAAUUCCUCUACACCACUGGAUGGCAGCACCUCUAAACAUCUGGACUUGAACUAAGACUGUGUUGUUCAUAAAUCAGAAGUAACAUCAGUUGUGGUCAAAAGUUUCUAUAGCCAAUGGUUGAUGGAUGAAUCAGGUUUAAUUCUGAGAGACCAACAUCUAAUGAUGCAUCAGGUGAAAUGCACUGUACAUCCCUCCAGAAAAGAGAUUUCCUAGAAUGAGCGUGAGUCUGGAAUUUCUGACGGAUGAAAGCUCUAUAGAAGGUGUGACAUUCCCUAUAUCAGCGUGAGGUCUUACAGUAACCGUCUCUUAAACAGCCAACGGAGACGACAUGAUGAGCUCGACUCGCUUUAAUUCUCAGCCAACAUUAUACAAGCAUAGUCACAGGCCGUUCUGGAAUACUUGAUUCUGAUUGGCUGUGUAAUUGACCUGCAAGUAGCUGCAGGGCUUCUUUUUCUCGCAUAAAAAAAGACUUUACAAUCUAAUCAUUAUUUUACCCCGAACGCCCCGUUCACAGCUGUAAAUAAAUGACUGUGGCCGAUUAAAGCCGUUUGAAAAAGUUUAGAGCUGUGAUCUGAAAUUUUGGAUCUGAAUGAGAACAUAAAUCAGCAGGUCACUUAAAAUAAUGAUUUAUAGUUGUCGGGUGUGAUUUUAUGGUAAAUGUCAGUCUGACAUCAUUAGACUCAACACAGGGUACAUAAAGUGACCUGUGAUUAUAUGUUUUUAACAGAGAUGGCGAUAGAGAGCCACAAAUUAUGCAUUAUUACUACAUAAACUUCACAGAAGCUGAUUGUUUCCUGUGACUGUUUUCAUUUGUGUGCACUUUAUCA